rnacentral:lncRNA from 1 species
UUUCCUCAGGCUCUAAGGCCCGCGGUGUGGAGCGCGGCGUAGGCAGCGGGGAGUGGGCGGCGCGGGGUGGGUGGAGUGGGUCGGCGGCGGGGAUCCUGCCGAGCCCGCAGCUGCCCUCUUUUAGCGCCGUGUCUCCUCCCCGGCCCUGGCUCGUCCCACCUCAGCCACAGCCCGGCCCCCUGGCCGGCCGAGGUCUCGCCGCCGGCGCCCUGGGGACCUCGUGGGUGUGGCCGGCGGCGACCUCGGCAGGCGACAGCCCAGCAGACGGGCACCAGGUGGACGUGCCAGUCUCCAGACCCCCGUCCCGGUGCAGGGAAGGUGGGCGUUUGGACCCCUGAGGCAGAAACAGGUGCGGCCCCGCCGGCGCAUCCCCCGGAAGGGACGCUGACUUCGUUCCCCUGGAGCCUGCGUCGGGGCCCGCGCUGGGCUGAGAAUUACGGGAACGCCGUGAGAGUUUGCAUUCCGAGGAUUUGGUCUGAGAACCUCACCAGCGAAAUAGAGAACUGCCCCCGGGAGAGCCGGCCCACGUGCCGCCCACCGGCGCCUUGACGGCAGGGAGAGGUCGAGCUUCCAGGGAGCGGGCGCCCGGCGCGGGGCUCCCAGCCUGUCUGUACCUGGUCGAGACACCCCGUGCCAGAGGCGGAACAUGUAUGAAAUGCCAGGUGCCCAGAGGACCCAGGCAGUCCGUCAUUCACAUACCAACCCACGUGCAGGCUUCAAUUCAACCUUGAAGCCAUUUGGGCCUGGGCUUUUUUGAUGACUUAUUUGAUUCAUAGUUUUUUGGUUACUAAUUGAGUCUCUUCACUUGUUAUAGGUCUGUUGAGAUUGUCUAUUUUUUCUUGAGUCAGCCGUCUGAAAAGAACACGAGGUGGACAGGGCAGAGCGGUCAAGGAAAGCCAUAGGAGGAGGGCACUUAUUUGAGCAAAGACCGGCGGGACGUGGGCGUCGAGGGUAAGGAUAUCUGCAGAAGUACUGUCUUGAGCAAGGAGCACGGCAGACAGAGCCUCUGAGACACGAGAGCCUGGAGUGUAAGAAACACAGUAGAGGCCACUAAGUCGAGAACGCAGGAGCUGGAAGGACUGGUAGGAAAUGGGAGGUGGGGACAUGGAGGGAUGCAGACAGGUCCUGCACAGUCAGAACUGUGGCCCCUUCUCUGCAGGAAAUGGGCAGCCUUCGGAAGACUGAGCACACGGAAGGAUAUGACUAACCCUUUAAAAGGGUCAUUCUGACUCCUGGGUGAAGAACAGACUAGGAAGGGCUGAGGAGGAGGCAGGAGGCCAUCUACUGUUAUAUGGGAUGUGGAGUGUGACCCGGAAAGGUCAAGUGUGACUCUAAGGGCUUUUUGUGUACUGAUCUUUUAUCCUGCAACCUUGCUAAACCCAUUUAUUAGUUCUUCUUGUCUUUUAGUGGCAUUUAUUAGUUGUUCUAGUGUUUUAGUGGAUUCCUUGGGAUUUUAUACAAAAGCGUGUCAUUUGUGAAUAGAGAUCAGUUUAUCUCUUCCUUUCUAAUCUGGAUGCCUUUUAUUUCUUCUCCUUGCCUAGCUGCCCUAUCUAGAAGCUCCAGUACAAUAUUGACUAGAAGCAGCAAGAGUGGACAUCCUUGUCUUGCUCCUGAUUUCAGGGAGGAGGCAUCCAGUCUUUCACCUUUGGGUAUGAUGAUAGCUGUGGGUGCUUAAAAAAUAGGUUUUAUCAGGCUGGGCACAGUGGCUCACGCCUGUAAUCCCAACCCUUUGGGAGGUCGAGGCGGGCGGAUCACGUGGGGUCCAGAGUUUGAGACCAGCCUGGCCAACAUGGAGAAAUCCCAUCUCUACUAAAAAUACAAAAAGUUAGCUGAGGUUGGUGGCCGGUGCCUGUAAUCCCAGCUAAAAAAGGGAAACUGUCUAAAAAUCAUUAAAAAAAAGGGUACUUCCUCAACCUGAUAAAACCUAUUUUUUGUUUGUUUGAGAUAGUGUCUCACUCUGUCACCCAGGCUGGAGUACAGUGGCUGGAUCUUGGCUCACUGCAACCUCUGCCUCCCAGGUUCAAGCGAUUUUCCUGCCUCAGCCUCCUGAGUAGCUGGGAUUGCAGGCACAGGCCGCCACGCCCAGCUAGUUUUGUAUUUUUAGUAGAGAUGGGGUUUUACCAUGUUGGCCAGGCUGGUCUUGAACUCCUGACCUCCAGUAAUCCACCCCCCUGGGCCUCCCAAAAUGCUGGGAUUAUAGGCGUGAGCUACCACGCCCAGCCGAGGAAGUAUCUUCUAUUUCUAGUUUGUUGAGUGUGUUUAUCAUGAAAACGUGUCAGAUUUGGUUAAAUGAUUUUUCCACAUCCAUUGAGAUGAUGAUCAUGGGUUUUUUUCCUUGUUCUAGUAAUGUGGUGUGUUACAUUAAUUGACUUUCAGAUAUUGAAAAGACACUUAUCCCCUGCGUUCAGAUAAAUUCCAGUUGGUCAUGGAGUAUCUGUCUUCCUGGAUUCAGUUUAAUACAAUUUUGUUGAGUGAUUUUUUUUAUCCAUAUUCAUCAUAGAUACUGGUCUGAAGUUUUCUUGUGGUGUCUGUGUCUGGUUUUGGUAUCGGUAUCAGUGUCCUACUGGGCCUCAUAAAAUGAGUUGGAAGUGUUCCUCUUUUUUUUUUUUUUUUUUUUUUUAAGAUGGCUGUUCACUGUAUCAUCCAGGCUGGUCACCAAUUCCUGGCUUCAACUGAUCCUCCCACCUCAAGCCUCCUGAGUAGCUGGGAUCACAGGCACAAGCCACUGGACCCAGCUUUAAUUGUUUAAGUGUUUCAUAGAAUUCAUUAUUGAAGCCAUUUGGGUCUGGGCUUUUUUGAUUACUUAUUUUGAUUAUUAAUUCAAUCUCUAUUUGUUGUAGGUCUAUUCAGAUCAUCUGUUUGUGUCUUUAGAGGAAUUUGUCCGUUUUAUUUAAGUUACAGUGUUUUGGGCGUAAGCAAUUUUAAGGAGAAAGUUAUCCUUAACCAAGAUGGGAAAGGUCGAGGCAGGGUGGUACAGGGAUUUUACCUCCCACCAGGUAUCUCCCACAAACUCCCCCUAAUAUAAUACCGGCGGAGUUUGGGCUGUGGCUUUGGCUGUGUUGAGUCUCAGAUGCCUGUUGGGCCUCCUCAUGGAAACGCUGGUGGGCGAUUGGAUGAGCAAGUCACCGGCGUGGCCCAGGUUGGAGACUGGGAAUUGUCACCACAGAGAGAGCCUUUAGAGCUGUGAGACAGGAGGAGGCGCCAAGGAGCCAUUGCUCAGGUGGAGGGGAAGUCGAGGCAUGGUGCUUGGGCCUAGGGGCAGCACUUGGGAGUAGUCAGCCUGAAAGGUGAGAAGCCAGGAGAGGGGUCCCCAGCUUAUGGCCUGGGAGCUAACUCAGAUUUGGCGAGUGCAGGUUUUGUGGAAUGGUGGUGUAUUAGUCCGUUUUCACGGUGCUAAUAAAGACACACCCGACACUGGGCAAUUUACAAAAGACAGAGGUUUAGUGACUUACAGUUCCACAUGGCUGGGGAGGCCUCACAAUCAUGGUGGAAGGCAAGGAGGAGCAAGUCACAUCUUACGUGGAUGGCGGCAGGCAAAGAGCGAGAUUGGGCAGGGAAACUCCCCCUAAUAUGAUACUGUCAGAUCUCGUGAGACUUACUCACUAUCACGAGAACAGCAUGGGAAAGACCUGCCCCAUGAUUCAAUUACCUCCCACCGGGUCCCUCCCACAGCAUGUGCAAAUUCAAGAUGAGAUAUGGGUGGGGACAAAAGACAGGCAGGAGUUCCGAGGAUGAGUAUUUGCAUUCUGUCCCUGAGUUUGCUGUAAAGGAGAGCAGCGAGACAGAGGCAUGGGGUGCGGAAUGGCGUGUUUAAGAUGGAGUGAUGACAGGUGCCCGUUGGAGUGAUGCAGUAGACAGGAUCUGAUGAUGGGGAGCAGGUGUCGUGUGCCCUUGAGCAGGAGCCCAGCAGAGAGACCCUUUUUCCUCCUGUAGCAGCAGAAGAGAAGGCAGCAGGGUGCAGGACUGAAGGAGGGCUGGGCUGGGCUGGGAUGGGAGCCUGGCUGGUUUUCCCCUGGUGGCCCUAUGACUGGUUAAGGGCAGGGCAGAGGCACGGCAGGUUGGAGGCACAGAAGGCCCAAGAUAGUUAUCUGGGCUGGAUGUGGGGCGGUAUUCUCGCCUCUCUGGGGACAUCCCUUAAGUGGACAGGAAGACUGGGUGGUUCAGGUGUAUGUCCACUCACCAAGAACACAGGAUGAAGGUGGGGCCUAGACAGUGGCUGUUUUGACCAGGGCAGAACAGUUGAGGGCAUGUGAGAGGGCCCAUGCUGACGCCAGACCUCAGUGGGGAGAGGGGAGAGUCCAGGGACCAGAGGUCCCCCUAGGCUUAAAGGACAAACCACAAGGAGAAGAGGAAGAAGUCUCUAUGUCAUUAAAGUUUCAUUAUCAGGGCUGCUAUAAUGCUUCUCAUUGCUUAUUAUAAAACCCAAUUCUGCAAGACCAGCCUAGCCAACAUGGUGAAACUCUGUCUACUAAAAAUACAAAAAUUAGCUGGGCGUGGUGGCAUGUGCCUGUAAUCUCAGCUACUCAGGAGGCUGAGGCAGGAGAAUUGCUUAAACCUGGGAGGCAGAGGUUGCAGUGAGCCAAGAUCGUGCCACUGUACUCCAGCCUGGGAGACAGAGGGAGACUCCAUCUCAAAAACGAAACAAAACAAAAAAAAAAACUAAUUCUGGCCCAGCGUGGUAGUUCACACCUGUAAUCUCAGCACUUUGGGAGGCCAAGGCAGAAGGAUCGCUUGAGCGCAGGAGUUCAAGACCAUUCUGGGCAACAAAAUAAGACCCCACCUCUACAAAAAAUAAAAAAAAUAGAAGGAAGCAAUAGUGUGCACCUGGGGUCCCAGCUACUCAGGAGGCUGAGGUAGGAGGAUCACUUGAGCCCAGAAGGUCGAGGCUACAGUGAGCCGGGAUUGUGCCACUGUACUUCAGCCUGGGUGACAAAACAAGACCCUCUGACUCAAAAAAAAGAAAAAGAGAAAAAUAUUUUUGUUAGAGCAAAACAGGCUGACCUUUUUUUCGGGUUUUUUUUGGUUUGUUUUUGUUUUUUUGAGAUGGAGUCUCGCUCUGUCGCCCAGGCUGGAGUGCAGUGGCACGAUUUCGGCUCACUGCAAGCUCUGCCUCCCGAGUUCACGCCAUUCUCCUGCCUCAGCCUCCCAAGUAGCUGGGACUACAGGCGCCCACCACCACGCCCGGCUAAUUUUUUGUAUUUUUAGUAGAGACGGGGUUUCACCGUGUUAGCAGGAUGGUCUCGAUCUCCUGACCUCGUGAUCCACCCGUCUUGGCCUCCCAAAGUGCUAGGAUUACAGGCAUGAGCCACUGCGCCCAGCCCUUUUUUUCGUUUUUAAUGUUGAGACUAGGUUACAGCAUUAUUAGAUACAAUGAAGGUAGAGGGAAGGUGCUCAGAACUCUCCUACAAGCAUAGCAGCUGCUCAGGCACAGCUCCAGUGACUCCAGGGCCCAGCCUUCUGGGGAGGAGUUGGAUGGGCAUAUUCCUUGAGGGGCUCCCACCUGCCCACAGAGAGCACAAGAGGAGAACUCAUCCUGUUUGCCCUGCUUUUCCCAUCUUGUUCCUAGACAUCCUGAGGUUCCCACCAAGUGGACAUUGGCUUAUUCUACAAGCAACAGGAUGAGGCCCCUGGACUCCUCACUAGCAAAAUAGUGCAGUGACAGCAACACCCCCCCCCACACACACACACACAAAGAUGUCCACAUCUUAAUUCCUGGAACCUGUGAAUGUGUGACCUUACCUGGUGUCUUAGUUCAUUUGUGCCACUGUAACAAAAUACCACAGACUGGGUAAUUUAUAAACAAUAUAAAUUUGUUUCUCAUGGUUCUGAAGGCUGGGAAGUCCAAGAUCAAGGCACUGGCAUGUCCUGUGUCUGGUGAGAGCACUUCGUUACUGUUUCCUCUGGAGGGAAGAAUGCUGUGUCCUCACAAGGUGGGAUGGACAGAGGGGCAAGAAAAGGCCAAACUCCACAGGAAGCCUCUUUUAUAAGAGGAGCCCUCGUGACCUAGUCCGAAAUGGCCCCACCUCUUCUUUCACCACAAUGGGGACCAAGUUUGUUGUUAGUUAACCUAAAUGACAGAGGAGCUCUCUAAAGAGAUAUUUAUUCAGGAAUAGGGCCUUGCAACGGGAACACGUAUAUUACGGUAACUGCAUGUUCAAGGAAGACAAAAGUUUUAAAGGAAGAAAGGAAGAUUACAUAAUCAUUUUGAAAUGAUACUCUUGACUGCAAAGAUUAAUAGCAAGGGAGACACCGGUCCAAGUUUGGAAGGUAGCUGCUGGGCAGGUAUCCUUGCAGAAGUAUUUUCUUGUGUAAGAUUUCAGCGGCCUUGGCCAGGUGUGGUGGCUCACGCCUAUAAUCCUAGUAGUUUGGGAGGCUGAGGUGGGUUAAUCACUUGAAGUCAGGAGUUCAAGACCAGCCUGGCUAACAUAGUGAAACUCUGUCUUCACUAAAAAUACAAAAAUUAGCCGGGCAUGGUGAUGCAUACCUCUAAUCCCAGCUACUCAGGAGGCUGAGGCAGG